UAAUAAGUAUUUUAUGGCACUUUUUAAAUCCAUAUCCACCUUGUGUGCAAUGUCAGUCGAUCUUCUUCAUGGAGAUCGACCAAACAUCAACCUUUAUUUUUUAACUCUUUGUCUGAAAAAUAUUAUGAAUAAACAAUUCAAAAUA
rnacentral:misc_RNA from 1 species